rnacentral:lncRNA from 10 species
AGCAGCAACCCACUCGGGUUCCCUUCCAUGCUGUGGAAGGUUUGUUCUUUCACUCUUCACAAUAAAUAUUGCUGCUGCUCACUCUUUGGGUCUGCACUACCUUUAUGAACUGUAACACUCACUGCAAAGUUCUGCGGCUUCACUCCUGGAGUCAAGCGAGACCACGAACCCACUGGAAGGAAGAAACUCUGGACACAUCUGAACAUCUGAAGGAACAAACUCUGGACACACCAUCUUUAAGAACUGUAACGGCCGGGCACGGUGGCUCACGCCUGUAAUCCCAGCACUUUGGGAGGCCAAGGCAGGCAGAUCAUGAGGUCAGGAGAUCAAGACCAUCCUGGUUAACACGGUGAAACCCCGUCUCUACUACAAAAAGAAAAUACAAAAAAUUAGCCGGGCAUGAUGGUGGGUGCCUGUAGUCCCAGCUACUCGGGAGGCUGAGGCAGGAGAAUGGCGUGAACCCGGGAGUUGGAGCUUGCAGUGAGCUGAGACUGCGCCGCUGCACUCUGGCCUAGGCAAAAGAGCGAGACUCUGUCUCAAACAAACAAACAAACAAACAAAAGAACUGUAACACUCACUGCGAGGGUCCGCGGCUUCAUUCUUGAAGUCAGUGAGACCAAGAACCCACUGGAAGGAACCAAUUCCAGACAUAUUUUGGUGACCCAGAUGGGACUGUCGCCUAUCACCAAGUGUUAAGGUGGCAGGAGUGGAAUCUUGGAUUCACCAUAUCUGAGUUAAAUUUUGGACACCCCUUGAUGAACCUGUGGGACUGUCAGCUCAGGAGUCCCAAGAUCAGCCAGACCAGCCUCGAUAUACCUGUGAACCAUUGGAGGACUUGCAUCUUCCUAUUUCAAAAGGAAACAUCCCAGACUAAAAAGGCUCCUACCACCAAUCCUGAAGAAAAACCCCUUCCUUCUUAAAAAAGAUAAGUGAAAACCUACAUAAUCUUUAACACCUCUCCUUGCCCCUUUAAUGGAAUCCUUUUACUAUUUCAUCAUAUUGUUAAGCAGCAUACUAACCAUACUCUUUGUGAUAAGACUAUAUACUGUAGCUCCUGCUGGGAUGAAAAUCCUAAUCACAUCAACCUUCUUUCUCUCUUCCUCCCUUCUGACAGCAAUUUACUCCUACCUUUAACUUGGACUGGAUAAGAUGAUCUCAUCUUCCAGAGCACCCUCUUUAUCUUCCUAUUUGCUCUUUGCCUAUCUAUCCCUCCUGCUUCCUUGGAUACCUCAUACAAUCACCCCUCCCCUUCCACUAGCUCCUAACUACCUCUACAAUAAUCUCAACUUAACCCACUCUCUGUUAAACCAGUCCAGUCCUUCCCUGGCAAAUGACUGUUGGCUUUGUAUCUCUCUAUCAACUUCUGCUUACGUUGCCACUCCCAUUCCCGCAAAAAACUGGGUCUUUACCAACUUAACUUACCACCCUCAUUGUGAAGGAAAAGACGCUUUCUGAUUUCUAAAUAUGCAAUCAUUAGCCCACUUCCCCAUCUCUGAUAGGACGAAGAAUACCCUAACAGGAUGUGCAAUCCAACUUUUACGUUCUUACAUUUCCCACCUCACCUAUUACACAAGCAAUGAAAAGCCCAUACAUGACCCUGUAACUACAAAUACCAUCUUAACUUUCCAAGCCCCUUUAUGCAUCCAAUGCAACCUGUUAUAAGGCCUGCCCCUGGGGUACCUACUAACCCAUUAGUGUAAUUACACCAUACAACUUCAAGCCCCAGCUGAUCAUAGUAACUUCUGAGUCACCCAAACAGCUCCAUUCAGAUGGCUUGUCUGCUUCUCAGGGCACCCAGAAAUCAUCGCCUCCUCCCUGCUUAACAAACAGUCCAGGUUUUGUAAUGGCAAACAUACUCCCUGCAUGACCAUUCACCCCUGGACUCCCUCCAGCAGCGCCCCCACCACUAGUGAAUGCCUUCUCAUCCCCUAUUUCAAUCACUCUCUGGAAUGGUUCCUGGUAGAUACAAAACGAUUUUUUUCUCCAAUGGGAAAACAGAACACAGGGAGCCACUCAGUUUGCUCCCAACACCCCUUUCCAGCUGCUCACUGGAGCUACCUUGGCAAGUACUCUAGGAGUAUGGGAAAAUGAAAACAACAAACUCACACACCUUUUUAACAUACACAACCAGUUCUGUCUACCCAGCCAAGGUAUAUUCUUCUUAUGUGGAACGUCGACCUAUAUCUGCCUCCCCACUAACUGGACAGGCACCUGCACCUUAGUCUUUCUAAGUCCCAACAUUAACAUUGCCCCAGGAAAUCAGACCCUAUCAGUACCCCUCAAAGCUCAAGUCCAUCAGCACAGAGCCAUAUGACUGAUACCCCUACUUAUAGGGUUAGGAAUGGCUACUGCUACAGGAACCAGAAUAGCCAAUUUAUCUCCUUCAUUAUCCUACUACCACACACUCUCAAAGGAUUUCUCAGACAGUUUGCAUGAAAUAACGAAAUCUAUCCUUACUCUACAAUCCCAAAUAAACCCUUUGGCAGCAGUGACUCUCCAAAACUGCCGAGGCCUAGACCCCCUCACUGCUGAGAAAGGAGGACUCUGCACCUUCUUAGGAGAAGAGUAUUGUUUUUACACUAACCAGUCAGGGAUAGUAUGAGAUGCCGCCUGGCAUUUACAGGAAAAGGCUUCUGAAAUCAGACAACACCUUUCAAACUCUUAUACCAACCUCUGGAGUUGGGCAACAUGGCUUCUCCCCUUUCUAGGUCUCUUGGCAGCCAUCUUGCUAUUACUCGCCUUCGGGCUCUGUAUUUUUAACCUCCUUGUCAAAUUUGUUUCCUCUAGAAUCAAGGCCAUGAAGCUACAGAUGGUCUUACAAAUGGAACCCCAAAUGAGCUCAACUAACAACUUCUACUGAGGACCCCUGGACCGACCCACUGGCCCUUUCACUGGUCUAAAGAGUUCCCCUCUGGAGGACACUACAACUGCAGGGCCCCUUCUUUGCCCCUCUCUGGCAGGAAGUAGCUAGAGCGGUCAUCGUCCAAUUCCCAAAAGCAGUUGGAGCCUUUGCAUAUCCUUACUACAGGACCAAGCAACCCCCAGCGGAGAAGAACGAUUACUGCCUCGGUGGCAAGAGGAUGGCUUUUGAUCUCUUAACAUAUUGGAAAUUACUUAAAGCGCAAGGAGCCUAAAUGUGGUAGUUGAAGCUUCGAAUUUGGUGGAGCCCUUUCUGUGCACCUGGUUUCGGAAAAGACUCUUCCCCUUCUCAGCCCUGCAGUGGAAACCAGGACCUUAGAGUGUGGGGACAGAAAACACAAAUUUUGCAAAUGAGUUGUUGUUUCUACAACGUGAAUGUAAGCUGUUUUGAUCCUUCCUCCUUAUGAGCAUUGAGAAAGACACAUCUGCCAGAUCAUCACAUACCUAGUACCAGAGGCCUGCUAAUCCACUUGCAGUAAAGAUAGCACAUCUGGCACAGCAGAUACCAUUGGCGUUAACAUCUGGUUAUGUUUAUGAUAAUUCACCAUCAUCCACCAUGAGCUCUCAGGAUUUUCCAGGGCUAGGUAUGCCCAUAAAUGAG